UGGGCGUAAAGCGUCCGCAGGCGGUCUGUCAAGUCUGCUGUUAAAGCGUGGAGCUUAACUCCAUUUCGGCAGUGGAAACUGACAGACUAGAGUGUGGUAGGGGCAGAGGGAAUUCCCGGUGUAGCGGUGAAAUGCGUAGAUAUCGGGAAGAACACCAGUGGCGAAGGCGCUCUGCUGGGCCAUAACUGACGCUCAUGGACGAAAGCCAGGGGAGCGAAAGGGAUUAGAUACCCCUGUAGUCCUGGCCGUAAACGAUGAACACUAGGUGUCGGGGGAAUCGACCCCCUCGGUGUCGUAGCCAACGCGUUAAGUGUUCCGCCUGGGGAGUACGCACGCAAGUGUGAAACUCAAAGGAAUUGACGGGGGCCCGCACAAGCGGUGGAGUAUGUGGUUUAAUUCGAUGCAACGCGAAGAACCUUACCAGGGUUUGACAUCCUGCGAAUCUCUUGGAAACGAGAGAGUGCCUUCGGGAACGCAGUGACAGGUGGUGCAUGGCUGUCGUCAGCUCGUGUCGUGAGAUGUUGGGUUAAGUCCCGCAACGAGCGCAACCCACGUCGUUAGUUGCCAGCAUUAAGUUGGGCACUCUAGCGAGACCGCCGGUGAUAAACCGGAGGAAGGUGUGGAUGACGUCAAGUCAUCAUGCCCCUUACAUCCUGGGCUACACACGUACUACAAUGCUACGGACAAAGGGCAGCAAACUCGCGAGAGCUAGCAAAUCCCAUAAACCGUGGCUCAGUUCAGAUCGUAGGCUGCAACUCGCCUACGUGAAGGAGGAAUCGCUAGUAAUCGCAGGUCAGCAUACUGCGGUGAAUACGUUCCCGGGCCUUGUACACACCGCCCGUCACACCAUGGAAGUUGGCCACGCCCGAAGCCGUUACUCCAACCCUUGUGGAGGAGGACGUCGAAGGUGGGGCUGAUGACUGGGGUGAAGUCGUAACAAGGUAGCCGUA
rnacentral:rRNA from 1 species